UGGGGAAUAUUGGACAAUGGGCGCAAGCCUGAUCCAGCCAUGCCGCGUGUGUGAAGAAGGCCUUUUGGUUGUAAAGCACUUUAAGCGAGGAGGAGGCUACUUGGAUUAAUACUCUAGGAUAGCGGACGUUACUCGCAGAAUAAGCACCGGCUAACUCUGUGCCAGCAGCCGCGGUAAUACAGAGGGUGCAAGCGUUAAUCGGAUUUACUGGGCGUAAAGCGUGCGUAGGCGGCUUCUUAAGUCGGAUGUGAAAUCCCUGAGCUUAACUUAGAAAUUGCAUUCGAUACUGGGAAGCUAGAGUAUGGGAGAGGAUGGUAGAAUUCCAGGUGUAGCGGUGAAAUGCGUAGAGAUCUGGAGGAAUACCGAUGGCGAAGGCAGCCAUCUGGCCUAAUACUGACGCUGAGGUACGAAAGCAUGGGGAGCAAACAGG
rnacentral:rRNA from 1 species